CCUGACGGAGCAAUACGCGUGAGGGAGGAAGGCUCUUGGGUCGUAAAACCUCUUUUCUCAGGGAAGAAGAAAGUGACGGUACCUGAGGAAUAAGCAUCGGCUAACUCCGUGCCAGCAGCCGCGGUAAUACGGAGGAUGGAAGCGUUAUCCGGAAUGAUUGGGCGUAAAGGGUCCGCAGGUGGUACUGUAAGUCUGCUGUUAAAGAGUCUGGCUUAACCAGAUAAAAGCAGUGGAAACUACAGAACUAGAGUGCGUUCGGGGCAGAAGGAAUUCCUGGUGUAGCGGUGAAAUGCGUAGAUAUCAGGAAGAACACCGGUGGCGAAAGCGUUCUGCUAGGCCGCAACUGACACUGAGGGACGAAAGCUAGGGGAGCGAAUGGGAUUAGAUACCCCAGUAGUCCUAGCCGUAAACGAUGGAUACUAGGCGUGGCUUGUAUCGACCCGAGCCGUGCCGGAGCUAACGCGUUAAGUAUCCCGCCUGGGGAGUACGCACGCAAGUGUG
rnacentral:rRNA from 1 species